AGUGAACGCUGGCGGCGUGCCUAAUACAUGCAAGUCGAACGGAGUGGCGCACGGGUGAGUAAUGUAUAUCUAAUCUGCCCUACACUAGAGGACAACAGUUCGUAACGACUGCUAUUACUCUAUAGUUUAGGGUGAGGCUAUAUUGUAUCAGCUAGUUGGUGAGGUAAUGGCGCACCAAGGCUAUGACGCAUAACUGGUCUGAGAGGAUGAUCAGUCAAACGCGAAGUGAGACACCAUCAGGGAAUCUACCGGAAGGGGCAGUAGGGAGUAGGAGUAAAUGGGAGAAACUGAGAAAGAGCUACGGAGCGUAGAGGAUGGCAAUAAGCGGGGCAAAAACUCCAGUUGAUAGGGAAGCGGUACCUAACGAAUAAGCACCGGCUAACUCCGUGCCAGCAGCCGCGGUAAUUC
rnacentral:rRNA from 1 species